AUUGAACGCUGGCGGCAGGCCUAACACAUGCAAGUCGAACGAGUGGCGGACGGGUGAGUAAUGUCUGGGACACUGCCUGAUGGAGGGGGAUAACUACUGGAACCGGUAGCUAAUACCGCAUACCAUCAGAUGUGCCCAGAGGGGAUUAGCUUGUUGGUGGGGUAACGGGUCACCACGGCGACGAUCCCUAGCUGGUCUGAGAGGAUGACCAGCCACACUGGAACCGAGGGACGGUCCAGACUGCUACGGGAGGCAGCAGUGGGGAAUAUGGCACAAUGGGCGCAAGCCGGAUGCAGCCAUGCCGCGGAUAUGAAGAAGGCCGUCGGGGUGUAAAGUACGUUAAGCGGGGAGGGGUUACCUGCAGAAGAAGCACCGGCUAACUCCGUGCCAGCAGCCGCGGUAAUUC
rnacentral:rRNA from 1 species